rnacentral:rRNA from 1 species
UACGUAGGUGGCAAGCGUUGUCCGGAUUUACUGGGCGUAAAGAGCGCGCAGGCGGUCGUUCAAGUCGAGUGUGAAAGCCCCCGGCUCAACUGGGGAGGGUCAUUCGAUACUGUUCGACUCGAAGGCAGGAGAGGGAAGUGGAAUUCCCGGUGUAGUGGUGAAAUGCGUAGAUAUCGGGAGGAACACCAGUGGCGAAGGCGACUUCCUGGCCUGUUCUUGACGCUGAGGCGCGAAAGCCAGGGGAGCGAACGGG